rnacentral:rRNA from 1 species
UACGAAGGGGGCUAGCGUUGCUCGGAAUCACUGGGCGUAAAGGGUGCGUAGGCGGGUCUUUAAGUCAGGGGUGAAAUCCUGGAGCUCAACUCCAGAACUGCCUUUGAUACUGAAGAUCUUGAGUUCGGGAGAGGUGAGUGGAACUGCGAGUGUAGAGGUGAAAAUUCGUAGAUAUUCGCAAGAACACCAGUGGCGAAGGCGGCUCACUGGCCCGAUACUGACGCUGAGGCACGAAAAGCGUGGGGGAGCAAACAGGGAUUAAGAAACCCU